GGGCGUGUAGCUUAGCCUGGCUGGAGCACCCGGCUGAUAACCGGGAGGCCGCAGGUUCAAAUCCUGCCAUGCCCACCA
rnacentral:tRNA from 2 species